GUGAGGGUUAUUUCACGUUUCUCCAUUCGGAUUUGCACUAUUUUCUGAGUUUGGCUGGGCGCCGCGUGCUAAGUUGCACAAGUCUCUCAUCUUCCCCAAGCCUCACUUUUCUCGUCUGUGAAAUGGGAUAAUCACACACCUGAGAGGAGGAAACAUCGCGGAGAUGACGUCACCUCGAAGCCACAUUACAGGUUGGCCAUUGCCGCUGUCCCCACCGCAGGAAGCAGACACUGAGAUCAAGUUGCUUGUGUGACAUCAAAGAGCAAUGAGUGACCUUGUUCUCUGGACCACAUUACUAGGAAAGCACCGAGGUGGGACCGGGAUAAUCAGAAAGGCUUCCCCGGAGGAGGUGACUUUAAUUCGGGUUUCAAUGACUGAAUAGGAGUUCUGAAAUUUAAGGAGUAAAUAAUGGAACCAAAGAGAAGUCCAUAAACCAAAGCAUAAGGGGCUAGAAGAGCCCAGCAAGGACUUUCCCAGUCCAUCCGGAGCACCCAGGUGGGCAUCGUGCCGCUAUUUGACAGAAGAGGCCAG
rnacentral:lncRNA from 1 species